rnacentral:lncRNA from 1 species
GUUAAAGAUGAGGAAAUGAGGAAAUACGGGAGAAACCCUAACCUGAAGGAGAGGAAGAUGCUCCGUGAUGAUGAAAGAUGAGCUCUAGAGCCACUGAAAUCUCGAGGAAGACGCACACAAUGGGAAAUGCUCUCCGAGAAAACCACAAGCACAGAGGAGUGUUGUCGGAGUUAGAGAAGCCAUUGAAAUGAGAAAAAUAAGAGUUUAGAGAAGUGAAAGAGAAGAACUGAGACUAAGAGAAACCUGAUACGAGAGGAAAAAUGAAAAAUUAGAGAGGAAGAGAUAUUAUAUCUGAUUUCUAAAAGUACGUUAUAAUACGUUUUGCACUUAUUUACAAGUUUGCCACCGCGUUUCAUAUUAUAACGAAUUUAUAAAACUACGUUAUAAUAUGUUUUAAACUUAUUUACAAGUUUGUCACCGCAUU